rnacentral:lncRNA from 1 species
CCAUGGGUUCAGCCGCCCAUGGGCACCCAAACCGAAUAAAUAUUAUACGCACAGAUUGUAUGGUAGUACAACUGCAUUGAGGGCUCAUGCGGAAAGCCAAGCCACUGACAUUAGCUAACCAAAUUUCAUUCCAAGCCAUGACAAUUAAUAUUCUCGCCAUCUUAAUGCUCAUAUGCACUCACAAUCAGUUGCAUCCAAAUGUGACAAGCAUGUUACCAGAUUGACCAUAUGGAAUACAGCACCACCAACACUUGUGUAUAUGAUUUGAACAGGCAUCAGUACAAACAAGGGCGGACAUAUAAAAAAGCUUCAUUGUUGCUCCAAGGCAUACCUAUUAUUAAGUCACCAGAAAGCAUCAUCAUAACUCAUCAGACUUUAAGAAUUUCAUGGUGAUUUCAUGGUGGUAGUUCAUACGCUUGUAGCUUGUGAUUAUCUAAUAUCAAGAUUUCUAGGCGGCCAAUUUUAUUCCUAUACGUUUCACGAAAAUUAUGUCAUUAAAAGUAGUUCAAAAGCUGCCCACUGAAAGCUAAGGAAUUAACCACGUGGGAGAUCAAGAUGUAGAGUACACUGAAGUUCAAAUCACAUAUUACUGGAAAUAUCAACGGUGCAUAGAAAGGGGGCAACACACAAGAGGCAAACAUAGAACUAGGGGAGGAGUGGUGCAGAUCAGGCUGCACCCCUGUGGGCCCUGGGAGUAAGCAAGAAUGUAGGCACGCAAUAUCCAACGCAUUCAUAUGGGCAAAACCCACUCUGUAUCCGAUACACUUGGUGAUCCACGUUGCAGAUGCCCUUACACCCCUGAGUGACAUUUCAACAUUCAAAUGGUUGCUCACAGAAAGCAAGCCAUCCCGAUUUGCACGCUUCCACCUAGUCACACAAAACCCUAACCCUAAUACAUACCAUAAAUACAAGUGAUGGUAUCUGAUCUCAAUACACCUCUGAAUGAGCCUUACUCAUCAUCGCCAUCAACAGCACUUAGGCGCAAAUCCCACAAAGAGAAUAACAGAGAAGCCAAUAGUCAAAGAGCGCAAGAUCACCAGAAACAACAUGAGAAUCGGUAAAAGCAGAAAGAAUCACUAUAUCAGGAGCAAAUCAUGAACUGGUGGACACAAAAACUGGGACAUGUAUAAGUAAAUGGCUCAGAUACACUCCCAUCUCAACACUGUAACUGAAUUUCUGGUAGAAUGACCAUGAACAUUUAUAUUUGUGAACGGAGGGAGUAACAGUUAAGAAGGGGAGCCUUGGCGCAGCAGCGGUAAAGCUGUAGCCUUGUAACCUUGUGGUCAUGGGUUCGAGUCCUGGAAACAGCCUCUUGCAGAAAUGUAGGGAAAGGCUGCGUACUAUAGACCCAAAGCGAUCGGACCCUUGCCCGGACCCUGCACAAGCAGGAGCUACGUGCACCGGGCUGCCCUUUAGGGAGUAAUAGUUAGCCGCUAAACUGGUUGCUUGCUGUGACACAAGCCAUCCUAGUUUAGCAGCAAGUGAAUCAAUUCAGGUGUUAGAUAGAAGCUCUCACAGGGAGGUUAUAUCAUCACAGCCAUUCAUGAACAUGACACACAAAAACAGUAAUCUUGACAGCUGAACUUGCCCUAUACGACCCUUAAGUUGAAACCAGUAAAGAAGUAAAGAGAAACCAAAAGUACAAACUGAUAAGUAGAUAUAGAGUACAAUAGAAGGAUGAAAUUAUUAAGUCAAAUAGCAAUUGAAACAAGCAAACUGACCCAGCACCAAAUAAGAUAGUUUCAAAAACCAUCCAAGGGACAGCAGAAUUAUCAUAGCCAUUCAAGAAAAAGGAAGAAACAGAAAAAGGGGGGAAAAACAGAAGAAAGAAUUAAGUGUGGCUGGAGUACUGUUCCUAAAACAACAGAACUGGUUGACAUACUGCAAAACCAACAAAAUGUGUAGGAAAAAGGCGAAAAUAUAAACUUGAAAAUUAGUCCCUUGCAUCCACCAGACCAUGAUUUUACCGGAAGAACUGAUAUCAUAACCGAACUCUCAAGAUAUUUUUUAUGUAUACGUGGAUGCGAGCAAGCAAGAACUACAAAUUCUCAAAAAGGAAAAGAUCAGUUCAAAUUUUGGGAAGGGAACACUCAUUUUUACUCGGAACAUUAUUGGGCGGGAGGCUCAGAGUUGGCCCAUUUAUAAAAGGUAGUCAUGGUAAUUUUGCAACAUGAGAUUAUAGAAUAGGUAGGUGCAGGAUUAUGACAACAUUGUGCUUUCCACGUAUUGGCUUCUAUAAGCAUUAAAAUGGUCAUCAGCAGAAAGCAAACAGUGCAGAUUGUAUUCCUUGAGGCCAGUUAGCAGUUGCUGUGUGGACCAAAACAGUACUCCCUCCGUAAAGAAAUAUAAGAGCGUUUAGAUCACUACUUUAGUGAUCUAAACGUAGUGAUCUAAACGCUCUUAUAUUUCUACAGAGGGAGUAGAAAAGAAGUUUGACAACUUGCCGACUUGAAUGUACAUCACUACCAAAAGAACUAGUAAAAAUUUAAUAGGGAUAGUAAAGGACAUGGAAUAUGACCAAAGAACUAGCCAUGAACAGGGGUGCGUGGAAGCUAGCUAUCCAUGUGCCAGAACCAUGAGUUGGUUGCGAGAUCUUAUGGGUUUCAGCUCUAGCCUACCCCCAACUUGUUUGGGACUAAAGGCUUUGUUGUUGUUGUUGUUGGUAGUAAAGGAGGACAUGCACAGAUCAUGUUUCACAUAUUUAACCCCAUGAAAAGGGAGUAAACACAUUCAACCACUACCAGUACUAGGACCACCAACCACUGUGAGACGAGCUUGAGCAAAAGCCCGAAUGCACCGAACUGGUUCCCUCCAUGAACAACAAAAUCAUGAGAAGGCAAACCGAACACCACAAGAGGUGACCUGUGCGUUAGCCAAUCUUAGUGAGAUGGGCCAGUGCCAGAACCACGGCAAUUUAUCACUCCAAUCAUAAAAAGGCCAUCGGAAUAAAUAAAUGUGUAAACCAUACUGUAUAGGAGGGCACAGUACUAGUUGAACUGGGAGGGCUCAGAUUCGCCUUUGAUAGAUCAUACAACCUAGCCCCACCCUCUUCAUUCACCAGAUCAACCCCCCACCAAUGAAGUCAAGCUCUGCUGGUUAUCACUCAACAGAAUGACCGACAGAGCCAUCAAUAUUCGUUGAGAAUGAAAAGGUCCCAAAAGAGGGGAGAGCGUGUUUUUUAUACCCACGGCUCCUCGAAUAAUCAAAGACAGGUUUAUUGUCAGCCAAGUUUGAUCAUCAUCUCCCCUGAUAUAGCUCCCUUUGUGCAUGCAACAGGUAAGGGUGAAAAGUAGGUUGGAUCAGAUACAGAACAUCUGCAGCUAAGCACAGUAUCAGCAGCUGGAGGGUGAUUAGAACACAUGAGGAAUAGUUCACAAAAUCCUGGGAAAUUUUUGGGGAGUACUAUUUGAAUGAAUGGCUCAGAUUUAACCCACCAUGAAUCACCAAAGUUGGGAAAUGUUCCAGGUGGUACAAAAUCCUGGGAAAAUUUUGGGGAGUACUAUUUGAAUGAGUGAAGUGGUACCAUAAACAAUAAAAUAUCUCUCUCCCUCUUCCUCUCCCUCUCCAGCAACAAAUUGCCGCAACUAGUAACUUGCUGCAGAGCAAGGCCUCCUAGUUUAACGACUAACUGUCUAACUGGGCAAAGUUGAAUGGAACCAACCUAGGAAACGUGAAAGCAUCUCUAUCUCAGGACAUGUUGAAAGAUCAACACCAAAGAACACAAAGGAAACAAAUAUGCCAUGUCCGGAACACUGCACUGAUGUCCGUAUUACUCGAAACGAAAGAAGCAAUUGACAUUUGUUCACUUCAGAUAAAAGGAGUAACUACAAGACAAAUAAAAAACAGGAUGACAUAAACUUUCCAUUUUGAAACAGAAGAAAAGCAUAAGCUUGCAAAAAGGGAUGCGUAUAAUACAAACAGAAAACAGGAAAUGCAGCUCGCCCGUUUAUCCCAUGAAAAUGGGGUUCUAAUGCUAAAUAGUACAUGUAACAUAUGAUAGUGGCAAUACUAUUCCACCAUGAAACUGAACACCAGUCAAUCCAACCUCUGGCAAAAUGAAAACUAAACCAAAGCAAUAAUACUGAAUAAAUUUAAAAAUAUAUAAUGAGAAGGGGGCCAACCGCCAACAUAUAAAUCCCAAAUGACCCAAGCAAAAGCUCCAGGAGGACAUUCAGUUAUGGUAUGACAAAAUAUAAGAGCCUUUUUAACAAAUACACUUUUGCAGUUGAUAAAUUUACUUGACACUCAUUUAGAAUCCGUGCAAGGGAUCUGUACCACACUAAUGCAUCAGAAAUGUGGCAGUUAUUAUUGACAGCAGCAGCUAAAGAAUAGACUAAUUACCAAUGAACUAAAUAGCAUAGAGAAUCGUAACAAAAGGUCUGCUCUGACCAAAACAAAUACGAAGGUAAUAUGAGCUUCAGUUCAUAAAAAACAGACAUAACAGAUCAAAACUUUGUCUUUGAAGAAGCAUCUGGCAGGACAAGAUAAGCAAGAGAACAGCUUCUCGUUAACCAGUUGAAUAGAACUGCCAAUAGCUACAAGCAUUGGAGGAAAAAAGGGCAACCGUUUGACACAUAUAUAGUAUGUACAACUAGAAAGGCAAAAACGAUGCCAACUAGAAACCAACCCAAGUAAAGCUAGGGUGGUUGGGUUCAUCACCAAGAGAAGAUACCAAUCCAGAUCCAGAUCACGCAUCAACACAAAAGGAAUAGAAAUUAAAAACAAUGUAUAGUGGAGAAGGAAAAACUGAGUAUUGUAGCGUAGCAAGAGGGCUCAGUUUUGCCUUUCAUCUUGAAGCCCAACACUCACGUCUCUUGCUGCAUAACCUACCCAUAGCGAUGUAAUUGAACUGCCCUGGUUAUCACACAUCAGAAUGACCAUCCAAGGCGCAGAACAUCCAACAUUAGCCAUGAAUUGAACAGGCUGCAAGAGAAGUAAGGGUGAGCUCUUAAGGGCAUCUCCAACGCCGGCACCCAUUUGGGCCCUAUUACGGCUGUCUUGAUUGCUCAAACAUAAUUAUUUCAGCCACAGGCAUCAUCAUCGCCCCUCUUUUUUUUUAAGGAAAAAGGUCAAAUCCCCAAGCAACAUGACCAUAACAUCCAUCCAUUAGGCUAGUCAUAGUGGUGAGUAACUUAGACAGUCUCAGGAGCUGCUCAUACCUGGCCUCGACCGACCAAACCUCACAGUGUGGGCGACGCAUCAGACAACGCCUUACGGUUCCCAGCCAUGCCACAACCAAAUCCAAGGCAAUGGACUGGCGGCAGCUGGCAGCACCGUAGAGACCGGGAUCUGACGUGGCAGCCACCCGGACAAUGGGUCAGCGAGUCGGCAAUGAGAGCUUGACUGAUUUGAUUUUUUUUGGGGGGGGGAGGGGGGAUACAAGGAUCGUAAGAAAAAGAGGGCUCAGUUUUGCAUUUCAUCUUCAAACCCAACACUCACAUCUCUUGCUGCAUAAUCUACCCAUCACAAUGUAAGAGAACUGCCCUGGUUAUCACUUAUCAGAAUGACCAUCCGAGGAGCAGAACAUCCAACAUUACCGAUGAAUUGAACAGGCUGCAAGGGAGGUAAGGGUGGGCUCUAAUUUAGUACCCACAAGCCACAGCUGUCUUGAUUGCUCAAGACAUGCUUAUUUCAGCCACAGUCAUCAUCAUCACCCCUCAUUUUUUACCGAAAAGGAGGCUGUAUCCCCGGCCUUUGCCCACCAAGCAAGAUGACCCUGAUAUCCAUACAUACAUACAUACAUACUCCCUCUGUAAAGAAAUAUAAGAGUGUUUAGAUCAUACUCCCUCCGUUUCUAAAUAUAAGCCCUUUUAGAGAUUCCAAUAUGGACUACAUACGGAGCAAAAUGAGUGAAUUUACAUGCGUGCACAUGUCCAUCCAUCCAUCCCCAUCAGCCUCAGGAGCUACUCAUGCCUGGCCUGGACCGACCAACCAGACCUGAUGACGCCCCAGAUAACACCGUACGGUUCCCAGCCCACGCCACAGCCAAAUCCAAGGCAAUGGAACGGCAGAGGCUGGCAGCACCGCAGCAGUGAACUGAUGCGGGCACCACCCAGACGAUUGGCCAGCGAGUUGGCAAUGAGAGCUCGACUGAUUUGGCUUAGGGUUAGAGGUAGAGGGGUGGGGGUAUACGUAGCAUAGCAAAAGAGGCUCAGUUUUGUCUUCCAUCUUCAAGCCCAACCCUCACAUCUCUUGCUGCAUAAUGUACCCAUCACGAUGUAUGAGAACUGCCAUGGUUAUCACUCACAGAAUGACCGUCCGAGGCACAAAGCAUCCAACAUCAGCGAUGAAUUGGACAGGCUGCAAGAGAGGCAAGGGUGGGCUCUAAGGCCAACUCCAACGCAGACACCGAUUUUUCGGCUCUGUUUAGUACCACCACGCCACGACUGUCUUGAUUGCUCAAAACAUGAUUAUUUCAGCCAUCGUCGUCAUCACCACCAUCAUCAUCAUUGCCCCAAUUUUUCCCCCAAAAAGGGGGUUCAACCCCAGUCCGGGGUCUGCACACCAAGCAACAUGACCAUGAUAUCCAUACAUACAUACUCCCUCCGUUCCAAAAUGUACUCCCUCCGUUCCAAAAUAGGAGUCGUGGUUUUAGUUCACGACACAUGAAUGCAUCCAUCCAUCCAUCCUGCUCAGGAGCUGCUCAUUACCUGGCCUCGACCGACCAAAUCUCCCGGCUCGAACGACGCAUCAGACAACAGAGCACGGUGCCAGCCCACGCCACAACCGAAUCCAAGGCAAUGGAAAGGCGGUGGCUGGCGGCUCCGUAGCAGUGUGGAACUGAGGCAGCGGCCACCGGAACGACAGGUCAGCGAUCCGGCAACGAGAGCUCGCCUGAUUCGGUUUAGGACUUACCGGUGUGAACAAUGCUCGCACGCAGACACAGAGUGAGCGAGUGUGUGGGAGUCUGAGAAAGAGAGAGAGGGAGAGAGAGAGGAGAGGGGGGGAUACAAGGAUCAUGAUCAUAAGCAAAAGAGGGCUCAGUUUUGCAUUUCAUCUUCAAACCCAACACUCACAUCUCUUGCUGCAUAAUCUACCUAUCGCAAUGUAAGAGAACUGCCCUGGUUAUCACUCAUCAGAAUGACCGUCCGAGGUGCAGAACAUCCAACAUUACCGAUGAAUUGAACAGGCCACAAAGGAGGUAAGGGUCGGCUCUACUUUAGUACCCACAGGACACCGCUAUCUUGAUUGCUCAAGACAUGCUUAUUUCGGCCACAGUCAUCAUCAUCGCCUUUGCCCACCAAGCAAGAUGACCCUGAUAUCCAUAAAUACAUACAUACAUACAUACAUACAUACAUACUCCCUCUGUAAAGAAAUAUAAGAGUGUUUAGAUCAUACUCCCUCCGUUUCUAAAUAUAAGCCCUUCUAGAGAUUCCAAUGUGGACUACAUACGGAGCAAAAUGAGUGAAUUUACAUGCGUGCACAUGUCCAUCCAUCCUCAUCAGCCUCAGGAGCUACUCAUGCCUGGCCUGGACCGACCAACCAGACCUGAUGACGCCCCAGAUAACACCGUACGGUUCCCAGCCCACGCCACAGCCAAAUCCAAGGCAAUGGAACAGCAGAGGCUGGCAGCACCGCAGCAGUGAACUGAAGCGGGCACCACCCAGACGAUUGGCCAGCGAGUUGGCAAUGAGAGCUUGACUGAUUUGGUUUAGGGUUAGAGGUAGAGGGGUGGGGGGUAUAUGUAGCAUAGCAAAAGAGGCUCAGUUUUGUCUUUCAUCUUCAAGCCCAACCCUCACCAUCUCUUGCUGCUUAAUCUACCCAUCACGAUGUAAGAGAACUGCCAUGGUUAUCACUCAACAGAAAGACCAUCCAAGGCACAAAUCAUCCAACGUCAGCGAUGAAUUGGACAGGCUGCAAGAGAGGCAAGGGUGGGCUCUAAGGCCAACUCCAACGCAGACACCGAUUUUUUCGGCUCUGUUUAGUACCACCACGCCACGGCUGCCUUGAUUGCUCAAGACAUGAUUAUUUCAGCCAUCAUCGUUAUCACCAUCAUCAUUGCCCCUCCCCAAAAAGGAGGUUCAGCCCCCGUCAGGGCUCUACACACCAAGCAACAUGACCAUGAUAUCCAUACAUGCAUACUCCCUCCGUUCCAAAAUGUACUCCCUCCGUUCCAAAAUAGGAGUCGUGGUUUUAGUUCACGACACAUGAAUGCAUCCAUCCAUCCUGCUCAGGAGCUGCUCAUACCUGGCCUCGACCGACCAAACCUCCCGCACGGACGAAACAGCAGACAAUCACUCUACGGUUUCCUGCCCGCGCCACAACCGAAUCCAAGGCAAUGGAACGGCGGUGGCUGGCGGCUCCGUAGCGGUGUGGAACUGACGCAAUGGACACCGGGACGAUGGGUCAGCGAUCCGGCAACGAGAGCUCGCCUGAUUCGGUUUCGGGUUAGGGUUAACUGGUGUGAACUCGGCGCGCGCGCGCACACAGAGCGAGCGAGUGUGAGUCAGAGAGAGAGAGAGAUGGGGAUCGUACCGAAUCCAAAG